UACGGGGGGAGCAAGCGUUGUUCGGAUUUACUGGGCGUAAAGGGCGCGUAGGCGGCGCAACAAGUCACUUGUGAAAUCUCCGGGCUUAACCCGGAGCGGUCAAGUGAUACUGUCGUGCUAGAGUGCGGAAGGGGCUACUGGAAUUCUCGGUGUAGCGGUGAAAUGCGUAGAUAUCGAGAGGAACACCUGCGGCGAAGGCGGGUCUCUGGACAGUUCCUGACGGCUGAGGCACGGAAGGCCAGGGGAGCAAACGGG
rnacentral:rRNA from 1 species